UACAGAGGGGGCAAGCGUUGUUCGGAAUUACUGGGCGUAAAGGGCGCGUAGGCGGCCUUCUAAGUCGAACGUGAAAUCCCUGGGCUCAACCCAGGAACUGCGUCCGAUACUGGAAGGCUUGAAUCCGGGAGAGGGAUGCGGGAUUCCAGGUGUAGCGGUGAAAUUCGUAGAUAUCGGGAGGAACACCGGUGGCGAAGGCGGCGACCUGGGUAGAUACUGACGCUGAGGUGCGAAAGCGUGGGGAGCAAACAGG
rnacentral:rRNA from 1 species